AUUCGAGAUUUAAAAGAUAUAAAUUCAUUAAUCCAUUUCUUAAAUACAAAAAAGAAAUAUGAUUGAAAUUAUCAAACUUAUUUGUAAAAUAAUCAUCUUUACUUCUCUCUUCUCUGUGCUAUCCAAUCGUGGAAGAAUUUCUAGAUGUAAAAACGAUAGUGAUUGUUUCGGUCAUACAUGCCAACCACCAAGGAUAGUGAAGUGUGACAAUAAACGAUGCGCAUGUCUUAAAGUAACAUCUAUCUUUAAUUAGGUUCACAUAUGUUGAUGUAUUUAUUAUUUUAUUCAAGAGAGAACACAAAUGCUCUACAAGAAUAAAUUAUGAGCUAUAAUAUAGUUAUUGUAUGUCGGAAGCAUAAUUUGUUUAUUUUUUCUUUUUGAUUUUAAAAACAUUGUAUUGUUCUUAAUUUAAUUUAAAUCUUCUUAAUCUUGUUUCUCUCCCA